rnacentral:rRNA from 1 species
UACGAAGGGGGCUAGCGUUGCUCGGAAUCACUGGGCGUAAAGCGCACGUAGGCGGAUUGCUAAGUCAGGGGUGAAAUCCUGGAGCUCAACUCCAGAACUGCCUUUGAUACUGGCAACCUUGAGUCCGGGAGAGGUGAGUGGAACUGCGAGUGUAGAGGUGAAAUUCGUAGAUAUUCGCAAGAACACCAGUGGCGAAGGCGGCUGACUGGCCCGGUACUGACGCUGAGGUGCGAAAGCGUGGGGAGCAAACAGG